GCCUGGAGGGCUCAGUCGGUAGAGCAUGUGACUCUUGAUCUCGGGGUUGUGAGUUUGAACCCCAUUUUGGCCG
rnacentral:tRNA from 1 species